GAUCGAAUGGUCGAUGAGCACGUCCGC
rnacentral:sRNA from 1 species